rnacentral:tRNA from 1 species
AGAAUAAUAGUUUAAAUAAAAAUAUUUAAUUUGCAUUUAAAAGAUACAAAUAAGUUUAUUUUA